rnacentral:misc_RNA from 1 species
UAAGCGAUCCGAUUUAUCGAUCGCGAUCGAACCGGUCCUGGGAGCAGGCUCUUCCAGCGGAUCGAAACGACAACUUCCCUCGACCAAGGCGAUCCACGCGUGGGAAAAGUAUGAAAUAUUCGGUUGAUUGAAAAGUUUGUUCCACGGCAUCAGGUAGAAAGGACUGUUCGAACACUUGUAGACGUCGUUUGACGUAGGCCGAGUGCCCAUCAGACAGAAACCACCCCCGCAUAGGAUUCUCAAUCUGCCCAAAGCGAGGAAGUUUCACGGGCAGUGCGGAAAAAAUCCCUGGUCCGUCCGCCUCUACGGCCGCAAUUUAUCGCCGUAAUGAAAGUUGCCGGGACGAAGGUGUCCGUAGGGAAGGGGAUUCUCCGCGAAGAGGGUGAAAAAGGAAGAAACGGCUACCGGUCAUCUGCAUGAUGAGUAAAUAGGUUCGCAUUACUCGCGCGAACACGGCAGUUUAUACCGGGUGAUCGCGGCAAAUGAGCCGGGACACGGUGCGCGACAUCUAUCGCGAUUAAAGACGCGCGCUGUUCCU